UACGGAUGGCUCAGUCGGUACAGCACCUGACUAUCAGUCCGAAUCUCAAGGUCGAAGCCCGCUGGUGGUCCUAGGUCCAAACCCUGGUCCGGUAG
rnacentral:tRNA from 1 species